AUGGGGUCCCUCUUUAUAGCUAUUGUGAUAGUAAAUAUGAAUGGUAUGACUGAGAUUGCAAUGACAAUAAAGCGACUCCCCACUUUCUACAAGCAAAGGGAGUUGCUAGCAUUACCGGGAUGGGCACUUCUUUGUUCAAUUUUCUUCAUCAGCAUCCCAAUGUCACUAGUAGAGACAUGUCUUUGGACCAGCCUAACCUACUAUGUGAUUGGAUACGCACCUUCCUUUCUCAGAUUUAUCCAGCAGUUUCUGGUACUUUUUGCGACACAUCAAAUGUCAAUGGGCCUUUAUCGUUUCUUAGCAGCAAUAGGAAGAACACAAAUGAUGGCAAACAUGCUAAGCACCACAACUCUUAUAGCAAUGUACAUAUUUGGAGGCUUUGUCAUAUCUAAAGAUAAACUUCAACCAUGGUUGCAAUGGGGAUGUUGGACAUCCCCAUUCACCUAUGCACAAAAUGCCAUUGCCCUAAAGGAGUUCCUUGAUGAAAAAUGGGCUACUGAGUUUUACUAUGCAAAUGCUAAUACAGUUGGUGAAGCUAUCCUUGAGAUAAGGGGGUUUCUCACAAAGUGGCAUUGUUAUUGGAUUUGUGUCAUCAUUUUAUUUGGAUUCUCGGUGGUCUUCAAUAUCCUCACUACAUUUGCAUUGGAGUUCAUGAAGUCUCCACACUAG
rnacentral:rRNA from 1 species